AGGUGAGCGGCAGCGGUGCCCGACCCUAUGGCAACCGUGGGCAAGGACUUGAGCGUUGGCAAUGAAAAUCUUCUCACCAAACUCAAGACUGCGCUGAAGGCGGACUCAUGCAUCCGACCUGAUGAGUGUGCCGGACGGGUUGGCUCAGCCGUCGACGCCGUUCCGGACGAGCUGGAGGCGGCUGUCGUGGACGCCAAUCAAGCCUUGGCGUGCCAAGCCGACGUCUUGCAGGCUGCACUCACGAUGUAUACCCACACUGGAGUUAUCGCAGACCUUCCGGAUGCUUGAUUUAUCAAAUUGGUGCAAAUGAAACCAGAGGGGUUAAUUAUGCUCAUUACAUUCGAUAAAGAGAGAAAAGCAAACAACAAUUUGGAUGUUUUCCCGGGAUAACAACACAUGGAUGGCGGAUAGGAGUAUGAAGAGUUUUUGUUUA